rnacentral:rRNA from 1 species
CGACUCUCGGCAACGGAUAUCUCGGCUCUUGCAUCGAUGAAGAACGUAGCGAAAUGCGAUACUUGGUGUGAAUUGCAGAAUCCCGUGAACCAUCGAGUUUUUGAACGCAAGUUGCGCCCGAGGCCUUUAGGUUGAGGGCACGUCUGCCUGGGCGUCACACACAG